rnacentral:rRNA from 1 species
CAAAAGCGGAGGAAAAGAAACCAACAGGGAUUGCCUCAGUAACGGCGAGUGAAGCGGCAAAAGCUCAAAUUUGAAAUCUAGCACUUUCAGUGUUCGAGUUGUAAUUUGAAGAAGGUAACUUUGGUUUUGGCUCUUGUCUAUGUUCCUUGGAACAGGACGUCACAGAGGGUGAGAAUCCCGUGCGAUGAGAUGCCCAAUUCCAUGUAAAGUGCUUUCGAAGAGUCGAGUUGUUUGGGAAUGCAGCUCUAAGUGGGUGGUAAAUUCCAUCUAAAGCUAAAUAUUGGCGAGAGACCGAUAGCGAACAAGUACAGUGAUGGAAAGAUGAAAAGAACUUUGAAAAGAGAGUGAAAAAGUACGUGAAAUUGUUGAAAGGGAAGGGCUUGAGAUCAGACUUGGUAUUUUGCGUUCCCUUCCUUUUUGGUUGGGUUCCUCGCAGUUUACUGGGCCAGCAUCGGUUUGGAUGGUAGGAUAAUGACAUUGGAAUGUAGCUUUACUUCGGUGAAGUGUUAUAGACUUUGUUGAUACUGCCUAUCUAGACCG